CCUCAGUCAGUCCUCAUUCCUCCGCUGCUCACAAGGCCUUGCGACAGGACCUCUACAAAAUGGAGCUGAACAUUAAAUGGCCUCAGGACAGGAUCUCUGCAGAAUGGAUCUGGACAUUAAAUGGUGGAAGAAGAAGUCUGAGCUGGGAACCUCCUCAGAUCCUCUGCUGUCUCAGAGACAUGAAGCCACAUGUGAAGCUGAACAGACUGCCGAACACAAUCGCCACCUGACGAAAGAUGUGAAGCUGAAACGAGGAGACGACCUCCAGAUGACCUCCAGAUCAGCUGCUCCUCUGAUCCUCCUCUCCUCAUGACCCUGGACUCAGUGACAGGAGCAGGAAGUCGUGAUGAUGCAUGAAGUACUGGGAGGACCAAAUGUCAAACUAAGCUGAUGUUUCAGCCUUAAAGACAUGGAGGACACUCGACUCUGAAGCACUUGCUAACACUUCCUCUCUCUUGAUUGACAGACAGCAGACUGAGGCAGCACACCAUGUGAAGACAUGAAGACCCCCUGCUGUCCAGGAAUCUCCACCUGCAGUCCUCCUGUGUUCCUGAUCGAUCAGCUGUGAGGAUUGAUCAGCUGUGAGGAUUGAUCAGCUGUUCAGACAGACUUCAGGAAAGAGCCUCACCUGUCAGACUGAACAUGGGACACUUGAGGACAUGAAGGAAAGACCCUCCUCUGUCAGACUGAACAUGGGACGUUUGAGGACUUGAAGCUAAGAAGCCCCUUCAGGAUCUGCUCUGGGAUCAGCCUCAUCAGGUGAAGCCCCUCCCCUUCAGGACCAGGAUCUGCUCUGGGAUCAGCCUCUCAUCAGGUGAAGCCCCUCCCCUUCAGGACCAGGAUCUGCUCUGGGAUCAGCCUCAUCAGGUGAAGCCCCUCCCCUUCAGGACCAGGAUCUGCUCUGGGAUCAGCCUCAUCAGGUGCUGAGCUUCAGAGACAUCAAGGCUGUGUUUGUGGAAAUAAAGAGUGAACUGAA